rnacentral:tRNA from 1 species
AGGUGGGUAGUUUACUAAAAAUGUCAAAUUGCAAUUUUGUCGAGGAAUUUAUUUUCCCUGCCUU